rnacentral:ncRNA from 1 species
ACCGCGCGAACGGGGCUGUUGAUGCUUUGCCCCAAGCAUCGCUGAUCUGUCAGCGCCCGCCCAGGCAGUCAGGGUCUUCGAGGCUGCGCCGCGUGCUCCCGCACGCCGACCCGGCCCGUCCGCUUCGCAUCGCCUGCGCGGACACGCGCCCCCCAAGGUCGCGGAUGC